UACGUAGGGUGCGAGCGUUAAUCGGAAUUACUGGGCGUAAAGCGUGCGCAGGCGGUUCGUUAAGUCAGCUGUGAAAGCCCCGGGCUUAACCUGGGAAUGGCGGUUGAAACUGGCGAACUUGAAUCUGGCAGAGGGGGGUGGAAUUCCACGUGUAGCAGUGAAAUGCGUAGAGAUGUGGAGGAACACCGAUGGCGAAGGCAGCCCCCUGGGCUAACACUGACGCUCAUGCACGAAAGCGUGGGGAGCAAACAGG
rnacentral:rRNA from 1 species